GUGUGUAGCGGUGAAAUGCGUAGAUAUAUGGAGGAACACCAGUGGCGAAGGCGAUUUACUAGCUCGAUACUGACGCUCAGUCACGAAAGCGUGGGGAGCAAAUAGGAUUAGAUACCCUAGUAGUCCACGCUGUAAACGAUGACAACUAAGUAUUGCUGUGAGGCAGUGCUGAAGCUAACGCAUUAAGUUGUCCGCCUGAGGAGUACGGUCGCAAGACUGAAACUUAAAGGAAUUGACGGGGACCCGCACAAGCAGUGGAGCAUGUGGUUUAAUUCGAUGCUACGCGAAGAACCUUACCAGGGCUUGACAUGGAUUUAAAUGUUCUAGAGAUAGAAAGAUAGCUAUAAAUCACACAGGUGGUGCAUGGUUGUCGUCAGCUCGUGUCGUGAGAUGUUGGGUUAAGUCCCGCAACGAGCGCAACCCUUGUCCUUAGUUGCUACUAUUAAAUUGGGGAACUCUAAGGAGACUGCCGAUGUAAAUCGGAGGAAGGUGGGGAUGACGUCAAAUCAUCAUGCCCUUUAUGUCCUGGGCGACACACGUGCUACAAUGGCCGGUACAGAGGGAUGCCAAACCGCGAGGUGGAGCAAAUCUCAUAAAGCCGGUCUCAGUUCAGAUUGGAGUCUGCAACUCGACUCCAUGAAGGCGGAAUUGCUAGUAAUCGCAGAUCAGCCAUGCUGCGGUGAAUACGUUCCCGGGUCUUGUACACACCGCCCGUCAAACCAUGAAAGCUGGUAAUACUCGAAGUCGUUAUCCUAACCGCAAGGGGGGAGACGCCUAAGGUAGGACUGGUGAUUGGGGUUAAGUCGUAANCAAGGUAACCGAAAGGGCGAANUCGUAACUCG
rnacentral:rRNA from 1 species